rnacentral:rRNA from 1 species
GUCGCGCGGACCUGGGUGGGGCAACUCGCUCAGGUUAGCGGCGAACGGGUGAGUAACACGUGAGCAACCUACCCAGGGGAGGGGGAUAACCCGGGGAAACCUGGGCUAAUACCCCAUGAUGCAGCGGCCCCGCAUGGGGCAGUUGUUAAAAGGAGGCCUCUGCUUGCAAGCCUCUGCCUUUGGAUGGGCUCGCGGCCUAUCAGCUCGUUGGUGGGGUAACGGCUCACCAAGGCUGGGACGGGUAGCUGGCGUGAGAGCGCGACCAGCCACACCGGCACUGAGAUACGGGCCGGACUCCUACGGGAGGCAGCAGUGGGGAAUCUUGCGCAAUGGACGAAAGUCUGACGCAGCGACGCCGUGUGCGGGAGGAAGCCCUUCGGGGUGUAAACCGCUAUCAGGGGGGAAGGAAGACGGAGGUCGAAAGGCCUUCGAUUGACGGUACCCCAGAGGAAGCUCCGGCUAACUCCGUGCCAGCAGCCGCGGUAAUGCGGAGGGAGCGAGCGUUGUACGGAAUCACUGGGCGUAAAGGGCGCGCAGGCGGCCGGGGAAGUCCUCUGUGAAAUUCUGGGGCUCACUCCAGAGGGUCAGGGGAAACUCCUCGGCUGGAGACAGGUAGAGGCCAGUGGAAUUCCCGGUGUAGCGUUGGAAUGCGUAUAGAUCGGGAAGAACACCGGUGGCGAAAGCGGCUCGCUGGGCUGUUCUUACGCUCGGCGCAAAAGGUGGGGAGCAACAGGAUAGAUACCCUGGUAGUCCACCCGUAAAAAUGGGCAUAGGUGCCCGUGGCGUGAUACCUUCGUGAGGAGCUAAGCGUUAGUGCCCGCUGGGAGUCCGCCCUAGGUGAACUCACAGGAAUGACGGGG